rnacentral:rRNA from 1 species
CAGUCGCCACGGUAAUACGUAGGGUGCGAGCGUUAAUCGGAAUUACUGGGCGUAAAGCGUGCGCAGGCGGUUAUAUAAGACAGAUGUGAAAUCCCCGGGCUCAACCUGGGACCUGCAUUUGUGACUGUAUAGCUAGAGUACGGUAGAGGGGGAUGGAAUUCCGCGUGUAGCAGUGAAAUGCGUAGAUAUGCGGAGGAACACCGAUGGCGAAGGCAAUCCCCUGGACCUGUACUGACGCUCAUGCACGAAAGCGUGGGGAGCAAACAGGAUUAGAUACCCCCGUAGUCCCUGUCUCUUAUAC